AACGAACGCUGGCGGCAUGCCUAACACAUGCAAGUCGAACGAGACCUUCGGGUCUAGUGGCGCACGGGUGCGUAACGUGUGGGAACGUGCCCUUAUGCUCGGAAUAACUCCCUGUCGGGGGUGCUAAUACCGGAUAAUUUCCGCUGACCAAAGAUUUUUCGCGCUUGGAGGGGCCGGCGUUGGUUUAGCUUGUUGGUAGGGUAAGAGCCUAUCAAGGGAAGGUUCGCUAGCUGGUCUGAGAGGAUGAUCAGCCACACUGGGGCUGGGAAACGGCCGAGAAUCCUGCGGGAGGCAGGAGUGGGUAAUAUAGGAAUAUGGGCGGAAGCAUGAACGAGUUAGGCUGGGAGAGUGAUGAAGUCCUUAGAGUUGUAAAGCUCUUUUACCCGGGAUGGUAAUGACGGUACCGAAAGAAUAAGCUCCGGCUAACUCCGUG
rnacentral:rRNA from 1 species